ACAAUGUUGUUAUUAGCCUAAGAGGGUCUCAGGAGAACUAAAGGGACCUGGAACAAGAAUUCCAAAGAGUUCCAAGCAUGUGUGUGAUGACACAGGUUCCAGAAAGGGUUGUCAUGGUAGGAAGUAUGCCAGUUCAUUCCAUUUCAAGACCAGCAGGCUCAGUCAACUACAUCCAAACCUUGGCACUACAACUACUACAACUACCUCAUGUCCUUGGGUUAAGUGAAGCCUCACAAGAUUACUGAAUUUAAAACAUCUCUGACACCCCACAAUGAAGAAAUUCAUGCAGCUGCCAAGCUAAAGACUGUGUUUCACAAAAUGUAUAGCUAGUCUUCAGUCCUAUCACUUGAACUAGUACUGCCAGAGCCAGGCUCCCAUCCAUCUUCUCCAAAUGUUACCUGAUAAUAGAGCCAAUCUUUCCUCUGCUCGAGGGUUUUUGUACCUUCUCCAGUCUUCCACUAACGGGGCUUACCGCCGGAUCAUGAGUGUGCUAGGUCAAAAUUGCAGACCUGCAUUGUGUUGCAUCUCUCCUCCUCAGCAUGACAACAUUAGACACAGCACUUCCAGUUUCGACACAGCAAUUGAAGCAAGUUCAGAGGAGAUUACCGCUGUGGACGCAACUUCAUUGAGACGCCAGAUCCUCAAGCUGAAUAGACGAUUGCAGCAUCUAGAAGAGGAGAACAAAGAACGAGCCAAAAGGGAAAUGGUCAUGUACUCAAUUACUGUAGCCUUCUGGCUGCUAAACUCCUGGCUUUGGUUGCGUCGCUAGAGUUUUCUCUCCCAAGACUUCUUCUUCAUUUAAGCAAGGAACCUGGUUGACAGAAGAUGUUUAACUACCGUUUGUGUCUGUGAGAGUUACAGUGGCCCCCAAAAGACAAGCAUCAAACAAAAGACCUUUACUAAGGAAAAAGGGGCAAGGAAGAGCUUGAAUGGGUGAAAAUAAGGAUGAAUGAAUGAACAGAAAAAUGAUGGAAUGAAGGGAUGCCUCAUUUGCAUGUCUUCCUAGAGAAUUGAGAAGAUCACUACUGAAACUUUUGGCUUCAGCCAACUUUUACUCUGCAUUUGGACCCAAAUUACUUCCCAUCUGGGCAGCCAACAGCCUAUUUGGAUUCAGAUUCUGUUUCUACAACAGAGAAGUGGCCUGAAGAAAAAGAAGACAAAAGCUAGGAAAUGCCAAAUGAACAGUUGGUUGGAAAGCAUGUGUCUCAUAAGAACACCGAAGCCUCCGCAGUCAUCCUUAGAGGGAGAGGAAUAAAUACUAUACCAAACUGGUAA